GCCGGAAUAGCUCAAUUGGUAGAGCAGAGGACUGAAAAUCCUCGUGUCA
rnacentral:tRNA from 1 species